rnacentral:misc_RNA from 1 species
UUUCCGUAGGUGAACCUGCGGACGGAUCAUUACCGAAUUAGGGGCUCUCAGUGCCGACCGCCCACCCUGUGUUUUUGUGACCUUGUUUCUUUGGCAGAUCCGCCCCGAUUAUAGGCCGCAGUUAGCUAAGGGGUGUGUGCCCGUGCCCGCCCGGAGCCCCCAUAAAGUCUUAUUAAACCUUUCGUCUUAGUCUUGGUAUAAUAAAAAAAACUUUCAAGAACAGAACUCUUGUUUCUGACAUCUAUGAAGAACCCAGCAUAUCUGAAGAGCACACGACUA